CCGACGACCGGCGCACGGGUGCGCAACGCGUAUACAAUCUGCCUUAUGCUGAGGGAUAGCCCAGAGAAAUUUGGAUUAAGACCUCAUGGUAUCGGAAGACGGCAUCGUUUUCUGAUUAAAGGUUACGGCAUAAGAUGAGUAUGCGUCCCAUUAGCUAGUUGGUGUGGUAACGGCACACCAAGGCAACGAUGGGUAGGGGUCCUGAGAGGGAGAUCCCCCACACUGGUACUGAGACACGGACCAGACUCCUACGGGAGGCAGCAGUGAGGAAUAUUGGACAAUGGACGAAAGUCUGAUCCAGCCAUGCCGCGUGCAGGAAGACGGUCCUAUGGAUUGUAAACUGCUUUUAUACGGGAAGAAUAAGGGCUACGUGUAGCCCGGUGACGGUACCGUAAGAAUAAGGAUCGGCUAACUCCGUGCCAGCAGCCGCGGUAAUACGGAGGAUCCAAGCGUUAUCCGGAAUCAUUGGGUUUAAAGGGUCCGUAGGCGGACUAUUAAGUCAGGGGUGAAAGUCUGCAGCUCAACUGUAGAAUUGCCUUUGAUACUGGUAGUCUUGAGUUAUGGUGAAGUGGCUAGAAUAUGUAGUGUAGCGGUGAAAUGCAUAGAUAUUACAUAGAAUACCGAUUGCGAAGGCAGGUCACUAACCAUACACUGACGCUGAUGGACGAAAGCGUGGGGAGCGAACAGGAUUAGAUACCCUGGUAGUCCACGCCGUAAACGAUGGAUACUAGCUGUUCGGACUUCGGUCUGAGCGGCCAAGCGAAAGUGAUAAGUAUCCCACCUGGGGAGUACGUUCGCAAG
rnacentral:rRNA from 1 species